rnacentral:rRNA from 1 species
GAUGAACGCUAGCGGGAGGCCUAACACAUGCAAGCCGAGCGGUAUUUCUUCUUCGGGAGAGAGAGAGCGGCGUACGGGUGCGGAACACGUGUGCAACCUGCCUUUAUCUAGAGGAUAGCCUUUAGAAAGGAAGAUUAAUACUCUAUAAUAUAUUAAUUGGCAUCAAUUGAUAUUGAAAACUCCGGUGGAUAGAGAUGGGCACGCGCAAGAUUAGCUAGUUGGUGAGGUAACGGCUCACCAAGGCAAUGAUCUUUAGGGGGCCUGAGAGGGUGAUCCCCCACACGGGUACUGGGACACGGACCAGACUCCUACGGGAGGCAGCAGUGAGGAAUAUUGGUCAAUGGGUGCAGGCCUGAACCAGCCAUCCCGCGUGAAGGAUUAAGGUCCUAUGGAUUGUAAACUUCUUUUGUAUAGGGAUAAACCUACCCUCGUGAGGGUAGCUGAAGGUACUAUACGAAUAAGCACCGGCUAACUCCGUGCCAGCCGCCGCAGUAA